rnacentral:rRNA from 1 species
AGGAUAAACGCUGGCGGCGUGCCUAACACAUGCAAGUCGAACGUCUCUUCUUUCGGGAAGAGGAGUGGCGGACGGGUGAGGAACACGUGGGAACCUGCCCUUCAGUGAGGAAUACCGGCGAGAAAUCGCCGACAAGACCGCAUAGCCCUCUCUGGUGAGAGCCAGAGAAGGAAAGCUUCGCAAGAGGCGCUGGAGGAGGGGCCUGCGUCCGAUUAGCUAGUUGGUGGGGUAAGAGCCUACCAAGGCGUCGAUCGGUAGCUGGUCUGAGAGGACGAUCAGCCACACUGGGAUUGAGAACGGCCCAGACUCCUACGGGGGGCAGCAGUGAGGAAUUUUCGGCAAUGGGGGAAACCCUGACCGAGCAACGCCGCGUGCAGGAAGACGGCCUUCGGGUUGUAAACUGCUUUUCUUUGGGACGAGCAAGGACGGUACCAGAGGAAUCAGCCCCGGCUCACUACGUGCCAGCAGCCGC